UUCGGGCUGUCCAUCAGUGUAAAAAACUGGUGAAGAAAGGGCCGGGCAAGACCGGUGCCAGCCGCCGCGGUAAUACCGGCGGCUCGAGUGGUGGCCACUAUUACUGGGCUUAAAGCGUCCGUAGCUUGGUUGUUAAGUCUCCUGGGAAAUCCAUCGGCUCAACCGAUGGGCGUUCAGGGGAUACUGGCAACCUAGGGACCGGGAGAGGUGAGAGGUACUCCAGGGGUAGGAGUGAAAUCCUGUAAUCCUUGGGGGACCACCUGUGGCGAAGGCGUCUCACUAGAACGGCUCCGACAGUGAGGGACGAAAGCUGGGGGAGCAAACCGGAUUAGAUACCCGGGUAGUCCCAGCCGUAAACGAUGCGCGUUAGGUGUAUCGGUGACCACGAGUCACCGAGGUGCCGAAGGGAAACCGUGAAACGUGCCGCCUGGGAAGUACGGUCGCAAGGCUGAAACUUAAAGGAAUUGGCGGGGGAGCACCACAACAGGUGGAGCCUGCGGUUUAAUCGGACUCAACGCCGGGAAUCUCACCGGAUAAGACAGCGGGAUGAUAGCCGGGCUGAAGACUCUGCUUGACUAGCUGAGAGGAGGUGCAUGGCCGUCGUCAGUUCGUACUGUGAAGCAUAAUCACU
rnacentral:rRNA from 1 species